UACAGAGGGUGCAAGCGUUGUUCGGAAUUACUGGGCGUAAAGCGCACGUAGGCGGAUCGAUCAGUCAGGGGUGAAAUCCUGGAGCUCAACUCCAGAACUGCCUUUGAUACUGAGGAUCUUGAGUACGGGAGGAGGUGAGUGGAACUGCGAGUGUAGAGGUGAAAUUCGUAGAUAUUCGCAAGAACACCAGUGGCGAAGGCGGCUCACUGGCCCGAUACUGACGCUGAGGCACGAAAGCGUGGGGAGCAAACAGGG
rnacentral:rRNA from 1 species